rnacentral:rRNA from 2 species
GUAAGCGUAAGUCAUCAGCUUGCGUUGAUUACGUCCCUGCCCUUUGUACACACCGCCCGUCGCUACUACCGAUUGAAUGGCUCAGUGAGGCGUUCGGACUGGCCCAGGGAGGCGGGCGACUGCCACCCAGGGCCGGAAAGUUCUCCAAACUCGGUCAUUUAGAGGAAGUAAAAGUCGUAACAAGGUCUCCGUUGGUGAACCAGCGGAGGGAUCAUUA